AUGGCGCUCCUGCUUUCGGUGCUGCGUGUACUGCUGGGCGGCUUCUUCGCGCUCGUGGGGUUGGCCAAGCUCUCGGAGGAGAUCUCGGCUCCAGUUUCGGAGCGGAUGAAUGCCCUGUUCGUGCAGUUUGCUGAGGUGUUCCCGCUGAAGGUAUUUGGCUACCAGCCAGAUCCCCUGAACUACCAAAUAGCUGUGGGCUUUCUGGAACUGCUGGCUGGGUUGCUGCUGGUCAUGGGCCCACCGAUGCUGCAAGAGAUCAGUAACUUGUUCUUGAUUCUGCUCAUGAUGGGGGCUAUCUUCACCUUGGCAGCUCUGAAAGAGUCACUAAGCACCUGUAUCCCAGCCAUUGUCUGCCUGGGGUUCCUGCUGCUGCUGAAUGUCGGCCAGCUCUUAGCCCAGACUAAGAAGGUGGUCAGACCCACUAGGAAGAAGACUCUAAGUACAUUCAAGGAAUCCUGGAAGUAGAGCAUCUCUGUCUCUUUAUGCCAUGCAGCUGUCACAGCAGGAACAUGGUAGAACACAGAGUCUAUCAUCUUGUUACCAGUAUAAUAUCCAGGGUCAGCCAGUGUUGAAAGAGACAUUUUGUCUACCUGGCACUGCUUUCUCUUUUUAGCUUUACUACUCUUUUGUGAGGAGUACAUGUUAUGCAUAUUAACAUUCCUCAUGUCAUAUGAAAAUACAAAAUAAGCAGAAAAGAAAUUUAAAUCAACCAAAAUUCUGAUGCCCCAAAUAACCACUUUUAAUGCCUUGGUGUCAGAGAUGAACAGCAGUGUUGGGGACCUGGGUGUUGGCGGCUGCAGCCUCUGGGAUGACCCUGCUCGCUUCAUCGUGGUGCCCGCGGCCUAUGCCUUGGCACUGGGCCUGGGGCUGCCAGCCAACGUGGCGGCCCUGGCAAUGUUC
rnacentral:lncRNA from 1 species